AUAAUAAAUAAAACACAGACAAAGCUUUCUUUGUCGGGCCGGUUAUUCCGGCAGCGGAUGGGUAACACAGCGUCCGCGGGACAAUA
rnacentral:ncRNA from 1 species